CGCCAGCAUACCCGUGCGAGCGGAAAAAAUGAAAUAAAAAUCACCCCUUUCAAUGUCUUUCGUGCGGCUACAGCAGUCUUCGCUCAGCUUCUUGUGCAGCAGCAGCCGCGUCUGGCUACUGGCUGGCUGGCUGAUUUGAUCUGAUUAGUUGGAAAUCAGUGGGAAAUCUAAUCCCACCGCCGAUCGAUGAUGCUUUCCGCCCCCACUUGCCGAUGCUCCUCCGGUUUCUUCCGCGACUAACCCAAGUCCAGGUCCAGGUCCAAUGUCUUCGUCUCCCCCCCACCAAACCUCCGGCUCACUCCCCCCCAUGGCGGACGCCCUCCACUGACCGGCCCCCUCUCCCCGCCGCCCGCUUCUUGAACCUUUUCUCAACGUUGCACCUGACUCGCUCUUCUCCCGCGGGAUUCGAUCGCGGCAGCUCCAGCUGAAGAACUGCGGCUGAACUUGAGGUGGCUUGGGAUUGAUUGAUUUCGGAUGCCGCCGACCUUGACUGGAUCUUUCCUCCCCUGGUCAGACACGCCGCCGCCGCCGCCGCCGCCGCCGUUUCAGACUGGGCGGAUUAAGCGGCGCUAACUAAUCUCCCCCGCUUCCCCACCUGCGCGCUAACUGCAGCUCCAAUGCCGCCAAGAUUGUAGCUUCCCCCCUAACCAUCACAUGCUGGACUGGAUGGCGCCUCCGAGAUUCAGAUGCGGAGCCGGCGCGCGCCGGCGGCUGGCCCCGCCGCUGCUCCUCCUGGCCCUCGCGCCCUUCGCCGCCGUGGCGGCCGCGGGCGGCGACGUGGAGUACCCGCAUUGCAGCUGCGACGGCGGGGGCGGCGGCGGGUUCUGGAGCACGGACAACAUCUUCCGGUGGCAGAAGGUGAGCGACCUGCUGAUCGCGGCGGCCUACUUCAGCAUCCCGCUCGAGAUCCUCUACUUCGUGGCGGGGCUCCGCCACCUGCUCCCGUUCCGGUGGGUGCUGGUCCAGUUCGGCGCCUUCAUCGUGCUCUGCGGCCUCACCCACCUGCUCGCCGCCUUCACCUACGAGCCCCACCCCUUCGUGCUCGUGCUGCUGCUCACCGUCGCCAAGUUCCUCACCGCGCUCGUCUCCUUCCUCACCGCCAUCACGCUGCUCACGCUCAUCCCGCAGCUGCUCCGCGUCAAGGUCCGUGAGAGCCUGCUCUGGAUCAAGGCCAGGGAGCUCGACCGUGAGGUCGACCUCAUGAAGCAGCAGGAGGAGGCGAGCUGGCAUGUCCGGAUGCUCACGCAGGAGAUCCGCAAGUCGCUCGACCGCCACACCGUGCUCGACACCACGCUCAUCGAGCUCUCCCGGGUGCUCGGCCUCACCAACUGCGCCGUCUGGAUGCCCUCCGCGGCUGCCAGCGACGGCAAGGUUACGAUGCACCUCACCCACGAGCUCCGGCGCGGGGGCAGCGAUGAGGGGCUCGUCGUUAUUGGGGUGGACGAUGCGGAUGUUGUGGAGGUCAGGCGGAGCGACGGCGUCAAGCUGCUCGGCCCGGGCUCGGCGCUCGCGGCGGCCAGCGGCGGGGGCAAGGAGGACACGGGGACCGUGGCGGCCAUACGGAUGCCGAUGCUCAAGGUGUCGGACUUCAAGGGCGGCACGCCGGAGGUGAUCCAGACGAGCUACGCCGUGCUGGUGCUGGUGCCUCCCGCGGACAAGACCUGGGGCGCCCACGAGACGGAGAUCGUCGAGGUGGUCGCCGACCAGGUGGCCGUCGCGCUCUCGCACGCGUCGCUGCUCGAGGAGUCGCAGGCCAUGCGUGACCGUCUCGCCGAGCAGAACCGCGAGCUGCUGCAGGCGCGGCGGGACACGCUCAUGGCGAACGAGGCCCGGGACGCAUUCCAGCGCGUCAUGAGCCAGGGGAUGCGCCGGCCGAUCCACUCCAUCCUCGGCCUCGUGUCCGUGGUGCAGGAGGAUGACCUGACGCCUGAGCAGAAGCUCGUUGUUGACACCAUGGGCCGGACGGCCACUGUCGUCUCCACGCUCAUCAACGACGUCAUGGAGAUGUCGGCCACCAACCGGGAGCGCUUCCCGCUCGAAACGCGGCCGUUCCAGCUGCACUCUAUGAUCAGGGACGCCGCCUGCGUCUCGCGGUGCCUCUGCGACUUCAGGGGGUUCGGCUUCGCCGUGCACGUCGAGAACACGCUGCCGAACCUCGUCAUCGGCGACGAGAGGAGGAUCUUCCAUGUCAUCCUGCACAUGGUUGGCAACCUCAUCAGCCGGAUCGACUCGGGGCACGUCACGUUCCGGGUGCGCGCCGACGACGAGGUGGCGGAGGACACGCUUGGACAGAGGUGGGAUCCAUGGAGGCCAAGUUACUCCAGUGGGUACUCGUCGGUGAAGUUUGUCAUCGGGGUGAAGAGCCAGCAGAGCUCCGGCUCGACGAUCCCGCGCCCGGGGCAGUUCAAACGGAAGCCGAGCGGCGAGGGCUUCGAUCUCAGGCUGAGUUUCAGCAUGUGCAGGAAGCUUGUGCAGAUGAUGAGAGGCAACAUAUGGGCGGUGCUCGACGGGCAAGGGCUGCCGGAGAGCAUGACCCUGGUGCUGAGGUUCCAGCUGCAGCCACCGGCGCCGCUCAUGUCGUCCAGCACCAGCGGAGGAUCGUUCGAGCGGCAAUACGCGUCGCCGUCGUGCCAGCUGACUGGACUGAAGAUCCUGCUCAUCGACGACGAUGACAUCAACAUGGUCGUCGCGCGGAAGCUCCUGGAGAAGCUCGGCUGCGUGGUUUCCUCGCUGCCCUCGGGGUCGGGGUUCCUGAACUCCAUCGGCCCCUCGUCGGGCGCGUACCAGGUGGUCCUGGUGAACCUCGAGAUGACGCGGGUGAGCGCCCUGGACGUCGCGGCGAGGGUCCAGCAGUACAGGAGCGGCCGCUGGCCGUUCGUGAUGGCCAUGACAUCGGAGCAGAACUCGUGGGAGAAGUGCGCUCAGUCGGGGAUCAACGGCAUCCUCAGGAAGCCGGUGGUCAUGCUCGAGGCGAAGGAGGAGCUCACCCGGAUUCUUCAGAGCGCAUGAUGUCGAUGUGGUUCGCAGGUCAUUUCGCCUUCCUGCCGAGAACUCUCGAAAUGACGAGGAACUGCCAUCGAUCACCGGCCGGCGCCACCGAAGGGGCGAUGUCCUUGUGAAAUCUUUGACCAGAAGGGCCGCGGUGGCGGCGAAGAAACUCGCAUUGGCCAGCCACUGAUGGCUCCAUAUCAGUGGCAAUGUCACUGUGCCAUAUAUUCUAGCAGUAGAUGGGAGGUUACAAGAGGGGGAGGAGCAUUGCUGAUGAUGAUACUUUGAUUCUUGAUAGAGAUCCAGAAGAAAUACAUGUGAUGAUCUCAUCACCAGUGGCAAUAAGAUUUUGUCUGACAGGAGAGGAGGAGGAGAGGUUCAGAAGUGUAUUUAGAAAGUGGAGGAGAACUAAUCAAUUGCAUGCCCAGUGGAGGAAGCAUAAGCUUCCUUUGAACAUUGGAUUCUAGUUGUAGGUAUGAGAAUGUAACAGCAACAUUUUGUAUUCAGGCAUGUUCAGGGAGAAUGGAUCGAACCAUUCUUGUGUUCCUCCAUAAUUUUCUACUAGAUGAUACGCAUCAUCUUGUAAAAAGAACGGUUGCUGAAGAUGUGGUGCAUCUUCAGAAGUUCUGCAACUUUUUUAAGCAUAGGGUGGAGUAGUAAACAAAUGUUUGGAUGCAAAAGGGGAGAUAUGGUGCAUCCAGGCAGAUCUUGUGGUGUCUACUAGCAUCAGAAUUAUACCAAGAUUAGCGGAUGGUGAAUAGAUUAAUUUUGAUGCUGCUGCAGUUCAAAACAUGUUCAAUGAGAAUGGAUUGAACAACCAC
rnacentral:rRNA from 1 species